CAGCUGGGACCGGCGCCCCGAGGGCUGGCCGGGCUAUAAGUUUCCCUCCGCACAGGUUGCCUUGCGAGUAGGUUCCCUGCCACGCACCUGCCCGGACCAUCCCUUUACCCUCCUGUGGGCCGACCCGCUCGGAGCGAUCCUGCCCCAGGGCACCUCUCCUUCAGUGCUUCAGCCGGCUUCUGCACCGACAGAGAUGGAGUGGAAAUUAGAAAAACGCGCCCUGAGGACGAGCAGGAGGGAUGAGGACUUGCUUUGGUAACAGUGCCUCGUGGGGGUGCAGGGGCUGCCGGUGUCUUGGGAAGGACCGCGGCCGGGGGGAUGUCUUCCUCGGCGGCUCUGCCUUGUCCCCGGGGCCGUGGCUCACGGGGAAGCCUCGCCAGCAACGAGGCUGGGUGGAGGGUGAUUUCGUGUGAACAAACUGAGCUGCGCGGUUGCUAAGUGUUGUGUCUCUGUGUUUUUUUCGAGCAUGACGCGAUGAGAACUCUUGGAAAAGACCUGAAGUGGAGCAGAAGCCCACGGAGAGCGUCUAAGGACUGUGGAGUGGACAUGAUUCAGGAAGGCGUGAGUUAAGUAAUUCUGUCCACUUGCUCGCUAAUACCACAUGCUAUUUCUGAAUACCAGGAAAGACACUUGAUCUUAAUACUGGCAUUGAGAUAUUCAAGAUUACACUGUGUUCUCUGAAAAACAAUAUGAGCUUUAAUGAGCGAGUCACAAACGAAGCGUACACAUUUCCUUCCCUCCUUCCCUUCCUGAUACCUUUCAAACUAGAAAAUUACACUGCACUGUUUGUCUUGAGUGUUUUAAGGACCCAGGUGAAAUUUCCCACAUGCUGAAUAACUCUCAGGCAGUACCAGGACUAAAGUAAGCAUUUUUUUUUUCAGGUCUUCCUCUAACAGCACCCAACAUAUCUUUAUACCUACCCUUUUUUUAUUCAGUGAUGCAAAAACCAGGGAGCUUUAGCAGUGCACAUGAGCAGACAUGCAUGUUUUAGACUUGUACAUUUUCAAGUUAAGAUAUCCACCUCUUAAGGGCAAAACAGUGUGUCCUGCCACGCAGUUACAUGACUGUAGCCUGCUCCCAGUGAGAGGAGAGGGUCCAUAUCUCAGUUUCAUUCCUGCUCCAUCAAAGCAGCAGAGAUGUAUGACAAAAAUCACCUGAUAUGUCCCACUAUGUGUUCUCAGGGCUGGAACUGUACAUGCAGGAGGCAACUGGAGUAAAAUACAGGAUCUCAGCAUAAGAACAGGCACUGUCUUGACAGAUUUGAUGUGGAAUCUUGCAGGUUAAUGGCUAACAGUGCAGAGGCUGGUCUAAAACGCUAGCAGCAGACUCAUUUGGUCUAAUGAGACCCUUGCAUAGUCCUUAACUGGACUCCGAAAGUGUAAGUGGAUAAAAUUAUCAUGCAUUAAAUUUGAGUUCCUCUCCAAAAAGAUCUUUGUCAUCAUUGAGAGUGACUUUGUUUAAUCUUCCACAUCAGUACCAUCACUCAAUCUUCGUAAAUAUUUUUUUGUGAAAUUCUCGAUUAAUUCAAUAAGUGAAUGAAAAAGACCCCUCGUUUGUUUGUUGUUUUUUUUAUUUCUUUUGAAUUUCUCGCCUUUUAAUACAGUUAAGUGGCUGUUACUGGAAAAAAAUUUUGAAGCACUUUAGGUAUUUUCAAUCACUGUUAGUCUUACAAGAGAACAGAACUAAUUCUAUCCAUUCUUUUCAUAUAGAAAACUCCACUGAGACAGUUUUUUCUCAUUUCUAUUUUCUCAGCCCUCCUUCAAGACACGGGCAGCUGGAGUGAGGUUUCUUAAUCAUAUUUACUAUCUCCCUUCUU